AUGGUAUAUGGAUAUGGAAAAUAUAAGAUUUCCGAUCCUAGCGGGAAAAGGCGGGGAACAGAUACCCAAUAGGAUCCUUGGGAGGAACUUUUGGUAAUGGCCUUGAUCCUCUAUGCUAUUUUUUAUUUGUUCUUAGUUCUAUUGAACUUUUUUCAUUCUUUUAAACAAGAAUCUAAUAAACUAGAAUUGAGUGGAAAAAAGGAGAGGAAAGUGUUAAAUGGAGAGAGUCGACUAAUCAGAGACUUUUAGGAUCUUCUUUACAUCAGGUAA
rnacentral:rRNA from 1 species